GAUGAGCGCUGGCGGCGUGCCUAAUACAUGCAAGUCGAGCGGACAGACGAGGAGCUUGCUCCUCUGACGUUAGCGGCGGACGGGUGAGUAACACGUGGAUAACCUACCUAUAAGACUGGGAUAACUUCGGGAAACCGGAGCUAAUACCGGAUAAUAUAUUGAACCGCAUGGUUCAAUAGUGAAAGACGGUUUUGCUGUCACUUAUAGAUGGAUCCGCGCCGCAUUAGCUAGUUGGUAAGGUAACGGCUUACCAAGGCAACGAUGCGUAGCCGACCUGAGAGGGUGAUCGGCCACACUGGAACUGAGACACGGUCCAGACUCCUACGGGAGGCAGCAGUAGGGAAUCUUCCGCAAUGGGCGAAAGCCUGACGGAGCAACGCCGCGUGAGUGAUGAAGGUCUUCGGAUCGUAAAACUCUGUUAUUAGGGAAGAACAAAUGUGUAAGUAACUAUGCACGUCUUGACGGUACCUAAUCAGAAAGCCACGGCUAACUACGUG
rnacentral:rRNA from 1 species